UCCUACGGGAGGCAGCAGUGGGGAAUAUUGCGCAAUGGAGGAAACUCUGACGCAGCGACGCCGCGUGGGUGAAGAAGGCCUUAGGGUUGUAAAGCCCUUUCAGUGGGAAAGAUGAUGACGGUACCCACAGAAGAAGCCCCGGCUAACUCCGUGCCAGCAGCCGCGGUAAUACUGAGGGGGCCAGCGUUGUUCGGAAUUACUGGGCGUAAAGGGCGCGUAGGCGGUUGAUCAAGUCASGAGUGAAAUCCUCGGGCUUAACCCGGGAACUGCUUCUGAAACUGGUCGACUUGAGUACGGUAGAGGAUGGUGGAAUUCCCCGUGUAGAGGUGAAAUUCGUAGAUAUGGGGAGGAAGACCGGAGGCGAAGGCGGCCAUCUGGACCGAAACUGACGCUAAGGCGCGAAAGCGUGGGGAGCAAACAGGAUUAGAUACCCUGGUAGUCCACGCUGUAAACGAUGAGUGCUAGUCGUCGCGGGUAUCGACCCCUGCGGCGACGAAGUUAACACGUUAAGCACUCCKCCUGGGGAGUACSGCCGCAAGGCUAAAACUCAAAGGAAUUGACGGA
rnacentral:rRNA from 1 species